AGUGAACGCUGGCGGUAGGCCUAACACAUGCAAGUCGAACGGCCGCACAGUAAGAGCUUGCCCUUACGGGUGGCGAGUGGCGGACGGGUGAGGAAUACAUCGGCAUCUACUUUUUCGUGGGGGAUAACGUAGGGCAACUUACGCUACUACCGCAUACGACCUACGGGUGAAAGCAGGAGAUCUUCGGACCUUGCGCGAUUGAAUGAGCCGAUGUCGGAUUAGCUAGUUGGCGGGGUAAAGGCACACCAAGGCGACGAUACGUAGCCGGUCUGAGAGGAUGGAUCGCCACAACGGAAACUAGACAAGGUCCAGACUCCUACGGGAGGCCGCAGUAGGGAAUUUUCGGCAAUGGGGCACAGCCUGAAGCCGCCACUCCCCGUGGGUGAAGAAGGUCUUCGGGUUGUAAAACCCUUUUUUCUGGGAAGAAAAAGCGUGUGGGUAAUUCCCCACUUUUUGGCGGUACCCCAAAAGAAAACCACGGCUAACUUCGUG
rnacentral:rRNA from 1 species